ACUGGAGGACCGAACCGACUACCGUUGAAAAGUUAGCGGAUGACCUGUGGAUCGGAGUGAAAGGCUAAUCAAGCUCGGAGAUAGCUGGUUCUCCUCGAAAGCUAUUUAGGUAGCGCCUCAUGUAUCACUGUAGGGGGUAGAGCACUGUUUCGGCUAGGGGGUCAUCCCGACUUACCAAACCGAUGCAAACUCCGAAUACCUACAAGUGCCGAGCAUGGGAGACACACGGCGGGUGCUAACGUCCGUCGUGAAAAGGGAAACAACCCAGACCGUCAGCUAAGGUCCCAAAGUUAUGGUUAAGUGGGAAACGAUGUGGGAAGGCUUAGACAGCUAGGAGGUUGGCUUAGAAGCAGCCACCCUUUAAAGAAAGCGUAAUAGCUCACUAGUCGAGUCGGCCUGCGCGGAAGAUGUAACGGGGCUCAAACCAUACACCGAAGCUACGGGUAUCACG
rnacentral:rRNA from 1 species